rnacentral:sRNA from 2 species
UUUUAGCCCCGAUAGAAGCGACAUCCUUUAUGUUUUUUCUUUAAAAACAUAAAGAUAUGGCGAAUAGUGGGAUUAGCU